rnacentral:tRNA from 1 species
UGGCUCAGUGGUUAAGUGUUUGGCUGCUAACCAAAAGUUGGCAGUUCGAAUCUACC